GUCUACAGCCAUGCCACCUUGAACAAGCCUGAUGUCUGAUCUUGGAAGCUAAGCAGGGUCAGGCCUGGUUAGUACCUAGAUGGGAGACCACCUAGGAAGACCAGAUGAUGUAGGCA
rnacentral:rRNA from 1 species